UUGUAUAUAUGUAGGACUCUAAAGUGCGAUGGUACUCUAAAGUGCGAUGGUCACGCUAAAGUGCGAUGGUCUACGCUAAAGUACGAUGGUGUCUCACGCUAAAGUGCGAUGGUUGUUUGUUAGCUAAAGUACGUUGGUGUAUUACGCUAAAGUGCGAUGGUCCAAAGGGUAAGAUUCGAGGGGUUAAAACAUCGAGGUUAAAAAUGUUUUGCAAAAGCUAGUAUGCUAAGGUAUAACAUAUGUGAUUGGCUUUAUAAUUUUCCGGUAGGCUUAAGUGAUUGUUUCUAAAUAAACAAGUUCGACCAAGUAAUAAUUGCUAUAAAGGUACUAAUUUAUGUGUCGCAAAAUAUUAAAUUUCAUGUAAAUGAAUUUUUAACAAUUUGGAGCGUAUUCAUGGUAUUGAAUAUUUGGAUAAUUGGUAUAUAUUGUCGUUCACACCAAUGUUACAACCUCCCUUACAGUCGUCAUUGAAAAAUUAUAAAUACAAAAUUCGUUCAUUGUCGGAAUAUGCAACAUUUAUUCUUUUAUUUAUAAGCUUUUAAUCAUGUCAAAUGCGAGAGAAAGGCAAUGUUCGCCUAGCUUUCUCCUUUUUCUUAGCGAGAACAAAUACAUGUUUUAUUUUCCUACAAUGUACAGUACAAACAAAUGUUAAGCAGAAAAUUUAUAAUUCACACAUGAAAACAUGUAUUCUCUAUUUUACCUUCGGACGUAUCUCUUAUCAAAAUCGACAGCAUUUUAACGAGGAUCACAAAGUAAACUGCCACAUAAACAAUGCUUCAAAUGUAUCCGUUUGCUUCUAAUAGAAGCAGGAUAAGUAUGCGUGUAUACUGUUUUGUAUGUAUUUAGUAAAUUUGUUGACUACAGAAUACAAGUCCUUCCAACACUCGAAAAAAAUAAACAUUGCGCUACAGCCGACAAAGAACGGUUUAAAUCAAUUACUAGUAUUAAAGUCAUGGACAUUUAUUGUAAAAAUUGUUGAUAAAAUAUUCUGAAUCUAUCUUCCGGCAUGUUGAUUUUUGGUUUGUAUAAACGACUGAUAACGUCAUAAUCAAACUACGUUUCUUACGUCUAUACUUUCGCGGACCAUCGCACUUUAGCGUGUGGAUGCAUCGCACUUUAGCGUAUACCAUCGCACUUUAGCGUGACCAUCGCACUUUAGCGUCCCCAUCGCACUUUAGAGUCCUACAUAUAUAUAUAUAUUUAU
rnacentral:lncRNA from 1 species